UACGGGAUAAGGUUAUGGUUCUAGUUCUUAUACUCAAUCAUACACUCGAUAUCUAGUCAUAUUUGAAUCCAAAAACUCUAACCAAGCUUCUUCUUUAUUCUCCAAGCAUUGAUGGUAUAGGCAAAGUCUGUAUGACUAUUUGG
rnacentral:sRNA from 1 species